AGUGAACGCUGGCGGUAGGCCUAACACAUGCAAGUCGAACGGCAGCACAGUAAGAGCUUGCUCUUACGGGUGGCGAGUGGCGGACGGGUGAGGAAUACAUCGGAAUCUACUUUUUCGUGGGGGAUAACGUAGGGAAACUUACGCUAAUACCGCAUACGACCUACGGGUGAAAGCAGGGGAUCUUCGGACCUUGCGCGAUUGAAUGAGCCGAUGUCGUAUUAGCUAGUUGGCGGGGUAAAGGCCCACCAAGGCGACGAUCCGUAGCUGGUCUGAGAGGAUGAUCAGCAACACUGGAACUGAGACACGGUCCAGACUCCUACGGGAGGCAGCAGUGGGGAAUAUUGGACAAUGGGCGCAAGCCUGAUCCAGCCAUACCGCGUGGGUGAAGAAGGCCUUCGGGUUGUAAAGCCCUUUUGUUGGGAAAGAAAAGCAGCAGGUUAAUACCCCGCUGUUCUGACGGUACCCAAAGAAUAAGCACCGGCUAACUUCGUG
rnacentral:rRNA from 1 species